rnacentral:tRNA from 1 species
GCCCCUGUCGUCUAGUGGCCUAGGACACUGGCCUUUCACGCCGGUAACACGGGUUCGAAUCCCGUCGGGGGUA